GCUCUCUCUGUAUGGAAUGAGUGAUUGUAUCCUUGCACUGUGGUGAUUGCCUCAGCAGCAGUAAACCGGGUUUUACAUACCUGUCUAUGUAUGAAAACUACUGAUCCCAGCAAUCGCCAUGUGCCACCCUGUCGGUCUACGUGAAGCAUGCGCAGGAUCUGAAGAAACCGAAUGCCUCUACAAUAAAGAGAGAAUGUUCCAAGAUGUCCAAUGGAUACCUAAAACCAAAGAAAUGUACUGGAGGACUCAAAGAGACCAACAAACAUUUCCAGGAUGGAAUACCUUUUGGAGCAAGCAUAAGUGAAACCAUGGCUAUUGCAUACUGGAUCUGUGGAUUAGGGAGUCCCUACUGUAUUUACAUUUCUGAACAGGCAACAACCAUCCACUUAUUGGGAGAGCACAUUUGCAGGGCUCUGGUGAUUAGCAGGAACCUGCCAUUUCCCACCACAAUUUCUUUCUUCUUCCUAAGCUUGUGUGUUUUGUCUGGGUUUGGAGAAGUUUAGCAGUCCUUUUGCCAGGUAGGAGUGUAAUCACAGGAUUUACUUAGGUUUGCAUGAGGCUAUUCAUUUUGCAUUCUAGCUUCCUCUGCCUUCCCACCAAUCCACCCUAAGAUUUAUGAUUUGUAAUGUAUAUGUAAUAUUAAUAUUGUGCUUCUUGGUGCUUAGCCUGCAUCACACCUUGGUCAUGUGGAGCUGAAUCCAUGCUUUUGGGGAAUUAGCAUAUCCUCUUUCGCUGGGGGUCACCUUAAGGGACUUUGUUAUGCUGAUACUGUAGUUAGGUUCAGUCUUGCUUGGGGGCUCUUCAUCAUGUCCUGUUCCCCUACUAGUUGGCAGGGAACCCCACAGUAGAUUCACAUGAAUUCCAUAACAACCAAUCCAUGGUAUCCUUCUGUUAACUGGACCAGAGAUCAGUGCCAUGGUGUAACAGGUGGGCUGUCCAGUCACUGAAUCCAAACUUCAUUCCAAGUCAACACUAUACAGCUGCCAUGAAUAAAGUUGAGUAUUUUUUUAGCCUAAAUUCAUUUGUGUGUGUUUCAUCUUCUUUUAAGCAUGGCAAUUUUUAUGUUAGAAAUACGAGGAAUAGUUGUCAGUACAAAUUUUAGGGAAGAGUUCAAAUCAAAUUUAUCCUCUUUUUCUUUUCCUCUCUUCAGUUUCUUAAGAACACAACACUCUACUCAAUAAAGAAAAUCUUUUCUUUCUGCUUUUUUGGGGGAAGGGGGGAAUUUUUUCUGCUGUUAAACUUCUCCAAAAUUGUUGAUUCCACCUUCUAUUUCCCUGGAGUCACCCAUGCUGAUUGAAACUGCAGUGACCAUAUAGCUGGGAGUCAUCUUAGUGUCCAUCCUCUCCUCUGAUUCCCAUCCCUGGGACAGGCUGCAUCUUUCUACUUUCAGAAAAUCUUUGAUCUCAUCACCGUUGCUCUGCAAAUACCAUUAAUAGGACACCCCUGUGGACCAAAUUGUCAGUAUCCCUGACAUGCUGGCACUUCAUGUUUUUGAGUAUGCUUUUAAACAGAAAAACUAAACUAUGUGCUGCCAAGAUUUGUUCCUGUAUGAAAUGCGAUAAGAGAGAGAAGAAACAGGUAGGAUCUGGAAAAAUAACAAUAUUUAUAUAUGCUGGUGAAUGGAAAGAAAGCCCAUGAAAAUGCUUGAACUGUUUUGUGCUUUAAGUAUAUUGUACAAACGGGAAAAAAUCAGUUUCAAUGGCAAUAGUGCGCCAUGAUCUACUCUUAUUUUCUGAAUAAAGCUAUCUGAACCUGAUGAAA